rnacentral:rRNA from 1 species
GUAGGGAAUAUUGGGCAAUGGAAGCAAUUCUGACCCAGCCAUGCCGCGUGAAGGAAUACAGCCCUAUGGGUUUUAAACUUCUUUUAUUAUAGAGUAAACGGAGGUACGUGUACCUCCCUGCAAGUAUAUGAUGAAUAAGGAUCGGCUAACUCCGUGCCAGCAGCCGCGGUAAUACGGAGGAUCCAAGCGUUAUCCGGAUUUAUUGGGUUUAAAGGGUGCGCAGGCGGAUCAAUAAGUCAGGGGUGAAAAAUUUCAGCUUAACUGGAAUCGUGCCUUUGAUACUGUUGGACUAGAGUAUAAUUGACGUGACUGGAAUGUGAUGUGUAGCGGUGAAAUGCUUAGAUAUGUCACAGAACGCCAAUCGUGAAGACAGGUCACGAAAUUAUUACUGACGCUCAUGCACGAAAGCGUGGGGAUCAAACAGGAUUAGAAACCCUAGUAGUCC